rnacentral:rRNA from 1 species
UACGUAGGGGGCAAGCGUUAUCCGGAUUUACUGGGUGUAAAGGGAGCGUAGACGGCAGAGCAAGUCUGAAGUGAAAGCCCGCGGCCCAACUGCGGGACUGCUUUGGAAACUGCCCGGCUAGAGUGCUGGAGAGGUAAGCGGAAUUCCUAGUGUAGCGGUGAAAUGCGUAGAUAUUAGGAGGAACACCAGUGGCGAAGGCGGCUUACUGGACAGCAACUGACGUUGAGGCUCGAAAGCGUGGGGAGCAAACAGG